rnacentral:rRNA from 1 species
GGAAGUAAAAGUCGUAACAAGGUUUCCGUAGGUGAACCUGCGGAAGGAUCAUUGUCGUGACCCUGACCAAAACAGACCGCGCACGCGUCAUCCAAUCCGUCGGUGACGGCAUCGUCCGUCGCUCGGCCAAUGCCUCGACCACCUCCCCUCCUCGGAGUGGGUGGGGGCUCGGGGUAAAAGAACCCACGGCGCCGAAGGCGUCAAGGAACACUGUGCCUAACCCGGGGGCAUGGCUAGCCUGCUAGCCAUCCCUCGUGUUGCAAAGCUAUUUAAUCCACACGACUCUCGGCAACGGAUAUCUCGGCUCUCGCAUCGAUGAAGAACGUAGCGAAAUGCGAUACCUGGUGUGAAUUGCAGAAUCCCGCGAACCAUCGAGUCUUUGAACGCAAGUUGCGCCCGAGGCCACUCGGCCGAGGGCACGCCUGCCUGGGCGUCACGCCAAAACACGCUCCCAACACCCCUCAUCGGGAAUCGGGAUGCGGCAUCUGGUCCCUCGUCUCGCAAGGGGCGGUGGACCGAAGAUCGGGCUGCCGGCGUACCGCGCCGGACACAGCGCAUGGUGGGCGUCCUCGCUUUAUCAACGCAGUGCAUCCGACGCGCAGCCGGCAUGAUGGCCUCAAAACGACCCAGCAAACGAAGCGCACGUCGCUUCGACCGCGACCCCAGGUCAGGCGGGACUACCCGCUGAGUUUAAGCAUCAAUAAGCGGAGGA